GCCCGCCCGCCCCUGCCCCCUGCUUGCUGCUGCGAAAGAAAACCAACCCGUAGAAAAACACUCGCGCGAUCGCCGGAAAUGCCCUGCCGCCGCCGCCGCUGCUAGUGCAACUUGCUCCUCCUGACCCCUGUUGGAUUUUAUGCGCGCUUCGCUUCCCCAAUUGUUUACUGCCAGCGAAUCUUCUCCCUCCUCGCGCACCGGCCCCUGCCCCUGCCCCCGCCCGCUCACCCGCUCCCGCCAACAGGCCUUUUUGCCGGUAUGGCGGAUUCGUGGGCGGUCGGUACUUGACGGCGGCGUCGGUCCGGGUUCUGCCGCCGCGGCUCCGGGAGAUGGGGCGGCGCCAAGGAGGGAACGGGUGGGGCGUCUGCGCCGUCCUCGCCGUCGCCUCGGUCGUCUCCGCUGUCGUCAUCCUUGGAGGUGGAGGUCAUCAGCAAUCUCAUGCACCUGCCUUUGGUCGUAAAGUUCUUCUAUCCAUAACAAGUGGCCAUCCACAAAUCAACUUGGAUAAUAUACUUCACCCAUCACAACUACAAGUUCCAACAUUGCAAAGCUUAGGGCUAACUGUAAAAUUAUCAACACCAACUAGUACAGAUGUUAACAAACAGUAUGAUCAUUACGCACCGAGCCCAACAAUCAAACAUGAAGCUGUGUCAGCAUCCAAGCAGGCAGUGCUGCCUACAAUGCAACCUAGUGUUUCACCUGAUCAUUUUUAUCAGUCACCAGAAAUAUCUCCAUCUAUACAGAGUCCAGCUACUCAAAGAAGCAAUCAUCAUCUUCAAGAACAAAUGUCUGCUGCUUCGCCAUCUCUUCCAGUUGAACCACAUGUGUCUCAUGCUAAAACUCCGGCUGCCGCACCUUUUCUACCACAGCCACCCUGGUCAUCUCAACCGCCUCCAUCUUCACCUUCCACUGGCAGUCAAUCAACACGGCCAGCUCCUUUACCCCGUAUAUAUGGCCAUUCUCCUUCUUCAUUCCAUACUCCUCCAACAGGCCAGGACACACUUAGAGUACCAGUUGCUUCACCUCCAGGAGAACUACCCAGCAAAAAAAAGCCACCACAGGAAGUACCACCGGCGCCCAUCGCUCCUGGAUCUAGUCAGGACAAGGAUGGCAUAUCAUUUGCUAGACCUCCAAAUAAUUUGCCAAUUCACAGCCGCUCACCACCAAAAGGCACAAGGGAGACUAGUCAUUUAACUCCUGCCGCUCCACCUUUGAUACACCGGGCCAUUCAAACCCCCCCACAACAGAGGCAACGUCCUCAUUCAAAUGGACCAGUUGCUUCUCCAAGAACAACAAUCCAUCCUGCCAACCAUGGGAAGGCCAAUCGCGUUCCAGUUGCAUCACCUUUAAAAGGAAGACAUCACCAUUCUAUACCUGUAAAUAAUACAGAUGGGAUCAGUGGGGCUCCAGUUGUGGCACCAUCAAAGGGAAGGCAUCAUCGUUCCUUGCCUGUCAAUAGGACAUCUGUAGAAGGACCUGUCGUUUCUCCUCAAAUUUCCCCCAGCAUCCGUAGGAGAGGACAUGGCAUUCCAGUUGCUGCACCGCCAAAGGAACCUUCCAGCCAUGUACCACCUGCAAAUCAUAAACACCACAAAGGUUCCUUUCCUGUCAUAAGCCCUGCUCCACAUAGAACUGGUAAUGCUUCUGCAACAAGCCAUGGACAUUCAGGUUUAGAUCAUAGUCCUGCUCCAGCACCGCUAGUCUUGCCUCCAUCAAAUGGAAAAGAUGGAAAUCCAGCGUAUGCUCCGCAUCACCCUCAUCAAUAUCAUUCACCUUCAUAUUCUCCAGAACAUGCUCUACCACCUGACAAUCCUGCAUUUAGAAAGCCCAGGGCUUUGGCACCAGCACCAAGUCAUUCCUUGCCGCCGCCACCUCCAAAUUCAUACUGCACGGCGUUAAAUUGUAAAGAUCCUAUGACCAAUAGUCCUCCAGGAACAACAUGCCUCUGUGUGUUGCCAAUAAAAGUUGAGCUUCGAUUAGGUAUAGCACUGUACACAUUCUUUGCAUUGGUCUCAGAACUUGCACAAGAAAUUGCAUCUGGAGUGUUCAUGAAGCAAAGUCAAGUUCAUGUUAUGGGAGCAAAUGCUGCAACUGAAGACCCUGAGAAGACAAUUGUCCUCAUUGAUCUUGUGCCAUUGGGAGCAAGCUUUGACAAUACAACAACACUUUCAGUAUUUGAAAGGUUUUGGCGCAAACAGGUCAUCAUAAAUCCUACGGAUUUUGGAAACUAUGAUGUGUUAAAUGUUCAAUACCCAGGUCUCCCUUCCUCACCACCAUCAGCUCCUGGAAAUCUGAACAACAGUCUUAGCAAUGGAAAUGAUCAAAGGUUACACCCACUUGCUGCUGAUAUAGGAAACCACAGAGAAACAAAAGGCAGAGGAAUAAUUGUGAUUAUUGUCCUGUCAAGUAUCUUUGCUUUAAUUUUAUGUGCUGGAGCUGCAUUGGUGAUUUAUUUCAAGCUUAGAAACCGCCAUCAUUUAACCGAAGCAUCACUUACACCAGAAAAGCCUGCAGAUUCUGCAAUAGCCGGGAGUAGGCUAGAAAGCAGACCUAUCUCGGCAUCACCGUCAUUCAGCUCAAGUAUAGUGGCAUAUAAAGGAUCAGCAAAAAUAUUUAGUUUGGUUGAAAUGGACAGAGCUACACAAAGAUUUGAUGAGUCCAGGAUAAUUGGUGAGGGCGGUUUCGGACGUGUUUAUGAAGGUAUUCUUGAGGAUGGAGAACGGGUUGCUGUCAAAGUUCUUAAGAGGGAUGACCAGCAAGGAACCCGGGAAUUCUUGGCUGAGGUUGAGAUGCUUAGCCGAUUGCAUCACAGGAACUUGGUUAAGUUGAUAGGUAUAUGCUCGGAGGAGCAUAUGAGAUGUUUGGUAUAUGAGCUUGUUCCAAAUGGAAGUCUGGAAUUUCACCUGCACGGAUCAGAUAAGGACACUGCUCUGCUUGAUUGGGAUGCCAGGCUUAAAAUUGCACUUGGCGCGGCACGAGGUCUUGCUUAUUUGCAUGAAGAUUCAAGUCCUCGCGUUAUACACCGUGACUUCAAGUCAAGUAACAUUUUGUUGGAACAUGACUUCACCCCCAAGGUUUCAGACUUUGGCCUAGCAAGAACUGCUAUAGGCGAGGGGAACGAGCAUAUCUCAACUCGGGUUAUGGGAACUUUUGGGUAUGUUGCUCCUGAAUAUGCGAUGACUGGGCAUCUUCUAGUGAAGAGCGAUGUCUACAGCUACGGUGUCGUCCUCCUCGAGCUUCUUACGGGCAGGAAACCUGUAGAUAUGUCAAGGCCUCCAGGGCAAGAAAACUUGGUGACGUGGGCCUGUCCUUUUCUGACAAACAGAGAUGGUUUGGAAACACUCAUCGAUGCAUCACUUGGAAGUAGCAUCCCGUUAGACAGCAUCGCAAAAGUAGCAGCAAUUGCUUCCAUGUGUGUUCAGCCAGAGGUGGACCAGCGGCCGUUUAUGGGGGAAGUUGUUCAAGCCUUAAAGUUGGUAUGCAAAGAAGGCAGUGAGUUCAAUGAGUCAACAAGUUUUAGCCAAGAUUUGCAUGUCCAAGACGCUGAGAUUGUAAGUAGGGCAAGUCUGGAUAUGGAUGCAGGCCCAAUGCUGUCUACAGAGCAGUUCACUGCAUCGGCGCGUUAUGAUACCCUGGAUGCAUCUGGUUCUUUUCGGCGGUAUUCAAGUUCAGGUCCUCUGAAGGUCGGUCGAACUGAACACAACAGGGAGCGAGGCUUAUCAACAGGUAGCUCAAGUGAACACUGUGGUCUACAACGAUUUAGGAUGGAUUCAGAGUAGUCAACGUGCGGGCUCAUUUUGAUGACCUGCGCAACGAGGAAGUACCACUGGCUUAUUUUCUGCAAGCCGACCGGACUUCAUAUUUACUGUGAAUAUUUCAGAAAUGGAAACGAUGCCAGAAACGGGUGUACCGGAUGAGGAGCGACCCAGUGGUGGAUGGCAAUGUAGGCCUGGCAUACAUAACAGUCGUGCGGGCUUUCUGUAGCCUUUUCCCUGACGAACUGCACCCGGGGAGCUUCACAACAGAACAACCGGUUCUUCAACUGCAAUUCCUUUGCGGAUUGCAGAAGAAGUUGAGGGUAGUAAGCGAGAGGGUUGCAAUUCAAAGGAAAUGUCCCCUUUCCUCUGGAGAGAGUGCAUGUGGGUGGUUGAGCUUGUUGAGACCAUGGUAGAACACGCGUGAAAAGUACUCCCUCCGUCCCAUAGUAUAGUGUCAAAAACGCUCUUAUAUUAUGGGACGAAGAAAGUAAUUGCGAAAUAAAUAUAAGAUGUAGGAUAUGACUCUUUCUCUGUAUUAUUCAGUUCUUCGGAGAAGAUAUGUACAAUUUUGUAGCACUGCCCCAUAAUAUAUAGUAGGUGGCUUGAUAGGUGUAAUUGAGUAGGAGUUCACCUCUCCUUUUCUUCGAAAC
rnacentral:rRNA from 1 species